AUAUCAUGUCUAGAAAACAAUACCAAAUUUUUUUUGAUACAGUAACACAUUAGAACUAAAUUUCAAAUAAGAAUAACUACAAAUUUAAGUAAAAAAAAAUCAAAAACAUUUCUUACAUAUAAUGUAUAUAUAUAGUUGAUACAUUUAUGCAAUUAUUAAUUUAUGAUAUUGAUGAGACUAUAUAUUUACAUAGGACUUUCAAAAAAGUUAUUAUCUUAUUAAUUUAUCGAUGUGUUACACUUUUUACAUUGGUCCUAACUUGGGAUCUGGUGAAUUUAUUAAUUUAUAGAGGUUACUAAUUUAUCGAGUAUUAAUUUAUGGAGGUUUAACUGUAAAAAGAGUUGAGGUUACCAUUGCAAUAAAAUAUGAGACAAUGUGUAGAGGAGGAUAAAAGAUUGAACAAAAAGAAGAAAGCCAACUAGUUUUUGUCAAAAGGAUAAUUUUCCAUGUGCAUGCAAGUAU
rnacentral:sRNA from 1 species